rnacentral:rRNA from 1 species
UACGUAGGGCGCAAGCGUUGUCCGGAAUUAUUGGGCGUAAAGAGCUCGUAGGCGGUGUGUCACGUCGGCCGUGAAAACCUGCAGCUUAACUGUGGGCGUGCGGUCGAUACGGGCAUCACUGGAGUUCGGCAGGGGAGACUGGAAUUCCUGGUGUAGAGGUGAAAUGCGCAGAUAUCAGGAGGAACACCGGUGGCGAAGGCGGGUCUCUGGGCCGAGACUGACGCUGAGGAGCGAAAGCGUGGGGAGCAAACAGG